AAUAUGUUAUAGGGGUAAUGUCUUUAAACAGAAGCAUGCUGUUGUGGAGUGAAAGUGCACAAACCAUUGAUAACCCUUUGGAGAAUCAGUACCAGAUGUAUUUUCAAAUGUUUGCCACUCUGAAGGUUUUUUUUUGACUGAGCAGUGUCAAACAGUCUUCGGAUCCUAGAGAAUCAGUUCCUCCAAAUGAAAAAAUCACCAGAGUCAUAAAAAUUAUGGGCAGAGAUACUUCAUGGAAGAGAGAUAACAUGACAGUACGAAAAUAGGUAUGUCGGUUCAUAAAGACGCCUGAUGUCGGGACGGUGAAGGCACGUCUACAAGAUAAUAUGGUGUAAACAGAUGGUAAACGUAAUUUCCGGACACAGAUGCGACUUGCAAGGGUCAAAAUCUUUAAAUUAUGAUCUCUAUGUGCAUGCGAAUAUCUUCAGCCGACUUGUGAAAUGUCCAAACAGCUCCAACUGCUACCUAAGAUGAUAACACGGACGAUAAAGGAAUGAAGGGUAUGUCUGCUUCACUACGAUUAGCAAAACUUGCACAUCUACUUUCAAGCUGGUGAAAGCACAACUUCAAUAUGUAAACUAAAAAAGAAGAUGGUAAUUUCCGGCCACAAGUGUCAAAAUCUUAAAAUUAGGGUCGAAGAGAAAUAUACGUCUCCUUGCGGUAAACCAGAAUACAGCACGGCAUUUUGCUUCAUAUACGUGUUAUUCAAAAGACAACAACAGUUUAAAGCCAAAGGAACCCAAUCUAACAAAUUGUGUCAGUCGUUGGACAUUCUAAAUCAUUAUCUGAUAUAUCGUUUGGAAAUUCUCCCCUUUGCUGAUGAAAUACCAUCUAUCAUUUAAUGGAUAUUUAACUAGAACAGAACGGAACAGAACAGAACAGAACGGACCAGUACAGAACUCUCAGUCAGCAUUUACAUCUCUCUAUACGGCAUCGAUAUUGCCAUUUAAUUUAUCAUAAAUUUAUCGAUUUAAUUGAUACAUUGACAUUUUCUUGACAAAAUAUUGAUAAAUCAGUUGAUUGACUGAUAUCGAAGUUGUAUUUUGCUGUUAUCCGAAUUCAGAAAGCAGCAUAAUACAGUAAGUACAAUGAUUAUGAAGAUUUAUAAAAAAUGUUUCACCUAGAGUUAUUUUGAUAUAGGGAAUUCUACACGUCUGACAAACCGGAAGUAAAGGCAUGACGUCAUUUAACCGGAAAUAUAACACAAAACCUGGACUCGGCAUAUGGAUUCUCCUUUUCGUUUGCCUAAUUUUCUUAAAAUAUCUAUAGGUUUGAAAACUUAAGAUUUUCUCAAUUUGAGCAAA
rnacentral:lncRNA from 1 species